rnacentral:rRNA from 1 species
GAUGAACGCUGGCGGCGUGCCUAAUACAUGCAAGUCGAGCGAACGGACGAGAAGCUUGCUUCUCUGAUGUUAGCGGCGGACGGGUGAGUAACACGUGGAUAACCUACCUAUAAGACUGGGAUCACUUCGGGAAACCGGAGCUAAUACCGGAUGAUAUUUUGAACCGCAUGGUUCAAAAGUGAAAGACGGUCUUGCUGUCACUUAUAGAUGGAUCCGCGCUGCAUUAGCUAGUUGGUAAGGUAACGGCUUACCAAGGCAACGAUGCAUAGCCGACCUGAGAGGGUGAUCGGCCACACUGGAACUGAGACACGGUCCAGACUCCUAAGGGAGGCAGCAGUAGGGAAUCUUGCGCAAUGGGCGAAAGCCUGACGGAGCAACGCCGCGUGAGUGAUGAAGGUCUUCGGAUCGUAAAACUCUGUUAUUAGGGAAGAACAUAUGUGUAAGUAACUGUGCACAUCUUGACGGUACCUAAUCAGAAAGCCACGGCUAACUACGUG